UACGUAGGGGGCAAGCGUUGUCCGGAUUUAUUGGGCGUAAAGAGCGUGUAGGCGGCUAGGUAGGUCCGGUGUGAAAACUCGAGGCUCAACCUCGAGACGCCGAUGGAAACCAUCUGGCUAGAGUCCGGAAGAGGAGAGUGGAAUUCCUGGUGUAGCGGUGAAAUGCGCAGAUAUCAGGAGGAACACCGGUGGCGAAGGCGGGUCUCUGGGCCGAUACUGACGCUGAGGAGCGAAAGCGUGGGGAGCGAACAGG
rnacentral:rRNA from 1 species